AUUCUGCUCAUGCAGAGGUGGAAUCCACAAGAAGGGAGCGGCAUGAACCACAGAUUUCUCCUGAAGUUCCAGCAACAAAAUUCACUUCAGUAUAACAACGCUUCCUUUGGCAUCUGUAAGAAAUACAGAGAGCUUCAAUAACCCUAAAAAAUAAUUUCAGAAGGAGAAGAAACACAAGCAUACAGACAAGGGCUCCUGAGCCAGCCUACAGUGCCCAUGCUGCCCCCUCCAGACAGACAUCUUUGGAUACAUGGACAAGGCUACCUGGCUGUGUGGUCAGAGAGAACGGAAGCCAGGGCACCUGGAAAGCACCUCUUUGGUGAGGCAGCACAGGCAAGCAGGGGAACAGAAAAUAACCACCAAGGGAAUAUUGCUGAUUGAACUGCCAUUGCACAAAGCAUGUUUUGCUUCAGUUUUCCAGAUGGGUUUUCCUAACCAGUUCUAGCAGAUGACUUGUGAAAGCUGGCAGUCCUGGACUACUGCUUCUCAGCAGGACAGCAGGUUGGGGCUGGGAAAUUCCCUGGGAACAUGGUGGCAUUUCAUCCUGUUCUCCGGGAGCAUGUGAUCAGGAGGACCAGCAUGGCAGCACAUGGUGCUGGAUUUCUACAAAAGAGCUAAGGGCCUUGUGCUUUAGAGACUGCUGCAACCAUCUACAGAGGAGGUGAGUGUCGUGCCUGAUGAACCUCCUC